CGCACGCCGCAUCCCCUCCCUCCUCGAUCUCUCUCCCUCAUCAGCCGCCAAAGUAACAAACCCUAGCCCACUUUCUCCACGGUUCCCCAUGGUCGCCGUGCCUCUCACUCCUCCCUCCUGCCUCAUCCUCCUUCCCUCCUUAGAUGCCAUGGUGGCAGCCGGGCCAGGGCGGGGGAAGAAAGCCGUGGGGAGUCCGCCGGCAGGAGGAAGUAGUAGAGGCUGGUGGAGUGACGGAUGCCGAGGGCCUCGUCCAGGCGGCCGCCGCCGGCCUCAGACCCGCCGCCUCCCGCCAUGACGAGCUGUUCCGCGCCGUGCGCGCGGUCGACAAGGAUCUCCGGGGCGCCGCCGCCGGCCAGGAGGAGAACGAGAUGGAACGCCAACAUUCGCUUGGCCGAGGCUUGCUUGGGGAGCCGUCGACAAGCCGGCGGGGUGAGCUACUGUCUGGUCCCCUAUUGUCGGCGACCGUGGUGUCGAGCAAGAGCGGGUCGUGUCAUCAUGGGAAGAGGCUCAAUGGCUCACCAUCGAAGAGCCAUCGUAGGAGCCACAAUGUCAAAAAAGCUACAGACGGGAGGAGGUCGGGAUGGAACUACCUCUUCCCCAUGUGAGCUCUCUCUUCUAGCUCCCGCUCCACCUCUCCUCAUGCUCCCUCUCCCCCCUGCCCUCCUCUGUUAGGUGAUUCAUCCUCUUCUUUUCCUUUCAGAGAGAUGAUGAGGUCUAGCUAGGUAUCUCCUAGGGGGAUUUUUAUUUCUUUUUGUCUACCUGAUGCUCACAUCUAGCUAGGCUUCUCUGGAGGAAUUUUUUUUGUUUCGUUGAUUUUGUUGUGUACCUUGCAUAUGUUCCUGCAAAGGGGAUUCUGUCUCUUCCUAUUUAGCAGAUGCUCUCAGAUCUAGCUAGAUUACUAGAAGGCUUUUUGUUGUCUUUUUGGCUGUUUGGCACCUCGCUUUUUCCUCAUCGAGAAGGGGGGCGGAUUUGUCCUAGAGCUGCUUUCUUUACAUAUGAGGCUUUUGUUCGUUUGCCUGAUGUGUUACCCUCCUUUCAGCUGUAGGACUUUCAGGAUAGACCUUCCUAUCAAUUUUUAUUCGAUAAACUUAACAUAUCUCAUGGAAAUUCUGGUAUGAGAUGUGUUUUUUGCGGUGGCUGUUCUUGCAUAUUUGUGCGUUGUAGCAGAUUUAGUGACAAAAACAUUUUUAAGUCCUGGAGCAUCAGUAUAUUUAAAUUUAUUUUCCUUUUGCCCAUUUUGUUUGAUGUAUUUUGUCAAGAGGAAUUGAUUCUGUACUUAAUAUGCGAGGAGCUCAUGAGUUCGUGUCGCUGCUGUACGUCGUCUCUCCCUCCUCCCGGCUCUCAACAGGAGCACUGCAGACCCUCCACAACUGAGGAUACCUAGAACGUACGGUCCUACUCUUGACAUUGAUUUCAAAAAAUGAUAUGUGCGGAUCUUAGGAAGAACAUAUAAAGUUAAAUUUGGUGGUGUUGCUUUUUUUGUCGUUGUGGUUGCGGAAUGGCGCACAGCAACUGGGAAGCGGACUAAAGCCAUGGCACCAGUGGUAGCUCUUUGAUGGAGCGCCUCCUGCCAUGAAGGCACAACCAGCGGCUCCCCACGAUACACAACACCGGGAUGAUGAGGUAUGCCAUGGAAUGGUUGGGUUUUGAGUGGUAGGUGAUCCCUAUGCCGGCUGUGAUAGCGGCCAUCAUUGGUAUACAACAAUGCAGCGAUUGUCUCGGGUGUGCUCCUAUCCUCCCCACUUCCCCUAGAUGCACAAUGUUAGGAAAACUAAUGAUUUUGUUCUCGGAUGUUCAUACAUAAUCUAGGUUGUUAUUGAGCUCCACGACUGGCCUUAGAUUGGCUAUUCAGCAUCGGCACACUUUACUCAAAUCUAUACCAUAAGAACAUGUGCUCCAGUCUGACAAAGCAGCCAAGCUGUAUAUACACAUCUUUGCUUCCUGAUCCAUUUUGUUUUGCGAUUCAGGCCACCCCUGAUGGUCAGGCUGAUGCUUCUUCGCUUGAUUCUGAAGAAAAGGAUGAUCAGAUUCAGAUCCCCCAAGAACAAUAGAGAAGAAAAGAGGGGUUGUCAGGUCAGACUUUGGUGCGUCUCUGACUAGAGAUAGCUGGAUCCGUGUGACGCUCUCCCAAAUAGUGCAGAUUCACUGACUGGUACAACCUCUAUAUCUUUGCUACUCUAGCUUAUUUUUACAUUUCUUAGUAUCAACAAAUAAGUUGGCCCCAGUAUAUACUUGAAGAUUGCAUCUGGUACAAAAUUGUUGGCUGACUAAAAUAAUUAGGUAUACUGCUCAUCUAUCUUUUAGAAAUAGAUAAUGGUAAUUUUUUCUAACGUUGGCCCACCCGGUUAUUUGAGUUGUGUCUAUGAAGGGUCAGUAGAAUAGUUGCUUUGAAAAAACCGGGAGUACCAAUUUGGUUGCCAUGCGAUUGUAAGGCCAGAAUGGUGGUACUGAAAAGUGGUCUGUAAUGGUCAUCUGUGUUCUGGAGUUGGAACUUUGAUUCUUUUGAAGCUGGAGUAGCUAGGUUGUCUAUACAUACAUGCCACCCACUAAAUUCAGAUUUCAGUAUACUGUUUAGAAUACCACUUGCUUUCACUAUAAGUACUGGACUACUAUGAGUGUCGUCGCCUUCGUCGAUGAGAGGACGAGAGCGGCAAUAGCACUAGCCAGCGAGGCAGGCUGCUUGGCUCUGAGGCCGACACACACCGUCCACUUCCGUUGGGCUGAUCUGCCACUUCAAAAACUUAUGGUGGCCAUAAGAAAUCUCAAGAGCUUAUUGUGAUGAUUUAAAUGUAAGCAGUUUCCCUCGUUGUGCUUGUGUGCUUCUAUGUCUUUCGUGGUCUAUUCUUAGUGUAUGGAAUGGUUAUAUUAGCCCUGUAGUUUACUUUAACUUUUGAAUCUUGAUGCAUCGAAAAUAGUUGUAAACUGAGACCUUAUUUCUGUGGGUGAAAGAAUAGAUGCACACUGGCUCUUUUGUUGUUUUUGAUUAUUGAAAGAUACACAUUUUGGUUUGCAUUAAUGGUGGUUAAAGUAUAAAAAUGGUAGUAAAACCAACAUCCAACUUUCUACAUCUAAAAUUUUGGAUUGUUGUGCCAAAAAUAAAAAGUAAAGAAGGAUAAAUCUCCUUCAAUAUUCAGUUGGUAUGCAGCUGCAGCUUCUAUGUCAUAUUUGGAAGCUACUCUAUGUGAUUUUUUGUGUAGUUCGUGAUCAAAUGAAGAUAGAAUUUUUAUGAAUAUAACAUGUGCAACAUGCUACUAACCGAGUCAAGUUUGUUUGAAUUUGUUCACUUUGUAGUCAGUGGAAAUAUGGAUGUCUUAUGCACUUUUCCUGCGAAAGAUGAACUUCAUGUUGCUUGCUAUGAAGAAAUGAGGUGUUUGCCUGGUUGUAAAUUUCAUGCUGAUGUUAUUGUAAUUAUGUUAUGUUCUCUAAAGAAACAUGGGGUCGGAUCCAAUAGGUUAAGAAAAAGAGCAUUGUUCAGCUACGACAAUAGUCAAUGAAGAGCUAAUCGAAGACAUUUCCUGAUCGCAAUAGCCAAUGAAGAGCAAUUCGAAGGGGUAGACAUAUUUUGUUGGCUGCAAGCCCCUAUUUUCUUCAAUUAAGAGAGAUUAUAUUUGUUUC